rnacentral:rRNA from 1 species
AGCGAACGCUGGCGGCAGGCCUAACACAUGCAAGUCGAACGAAGUCUUCGGACUUAGCGGCGGACGGGUGAGUAACACGUGGGAACGUACCUUUUGGUUCGGAACAACUCAGGGAAACUUGAGCUAAUACCGGAUGAGCCCUUAGGGGGAAAGAUUUAUCGCCGAAAGAGCGGCCCGCGUUAGAUUAGCUAGUUGGUGAGGUAAAGGCUCACCAAGGCUACGAUUUAUAGCUGGUCUGAGAGGAUGAUCAGCCACACUGGGACUGAGACACGGCCCAGACCCCUACGGGAGGCAGCAGUGGGGAAUCUUGCGCAAUGGGCGAAAGCCUGACGCAGCCAUGCCGCGUGAAUGAUGAAGGUCUUAGGAUUGUAAAAUUCUUUUACCAGGGACGAUAAUGACGGUACCUGGAGAAAAAGCCCCGGCUAACUUCGUGCCAGCCGCCGCCGUAACAC